rnacentral:misc_RNA from 1 species
AGCGAGAAUUCCCACAUUCUUUGCCAUUUCUCUACGCCUCUCCAAUUCCUCCUCGACACAACAGCCGCAAAACUAAAAGAAAUCAAAUGGAAAAAAAAACAGAAGCAGGCAGGAAGCAGCAGCUGCAAUUCUCUCUUUUGUACAGAGAUUUAAAAAAGUUUCAGGAAAAAAAAUGAAACUAAAUUGAGAAGAGAAACUGUGAAUUAAGGAGAGGGGUCCCUGGAAGCAGCAAGGAGAGAAAAAGAGAG